rnacentral:rRNA from 1 species
UACGGGGGGUGCAAGCGUUGUUCGGAUUUACUGGGCGUAAAGGGCGCGUAGGCGGCGUAACAAGUCACUUGUGAAAUCUCCGGGCUUAACCCGGAGCGGCCAAGUGAUACUGUUGUGCUAGAGUGCGGAAGGGGCUACUGGAAUUCUCGGUGUAGCGGUGAAAUGCGUAGAUAUCGAGAGGAACACCUGCGGCGAAGGCGGGUAGCUGGGCCGACACUGACGCUGAGGCGCGAAAGCCAGGGGAGCGAACGGG